rnacentral:rRNA from 1 species
AAACUUUCAGCAACGGAUCUCUUGGUUCUGGCAUCGAUGAAGAACGCAGCGAAAUGCGAUAAGUAAUGUGAAUUGCAGAAUUUAGUGAAUCAUCGAAUCUUUGAACGCACAUUGCGCCUAUUAGUAUUCUAGUAGGCAUGCCUGUUCGAGCGUCAUUU